AGAGAUAUGGCUCAGUUGGUUGAGUGCUUGCUUUGCAUGCACAAGGCCCUGGGUUCAAUCCCCAGUACCACAA
rnacentral:tRNA from 1 species